GAAGGGACCUAGCGUAGUUCGGAAUUACUGGGCUUAAAGAGUUCGUAGGUGGUUGAAAAAGUUGGUGGUGAAAUCCCAGAGCUUAACUCUGGAACUGCCAUCAAAACUUUUCAGCUUGAGUAUGAUAGAGGAAAGCAGAAUUUCUAGUGUAGAGGUGAAAUUCGUAGAUAUUAGAAAGAAUACCAAUUGCGAAGGCAGCUUUCUGGAUCAUUACUGACACUGAGGAACGAAAGCAUGGGUAGCGAAGAGGAUUAGAUACCCUCGUAGUCCAUGCCGUAAACGAUGUGUGUUAGACGUUGGAAAUUUAUUUUCAGUGUCGCAGCGAAAGCGAUAAACACACCGCCUGGGGAGUACGACCGCAAGGUUAAAACUCAAAUGAAUUGACGGGGACCCGCACAAGUAGUGGAGCAUGUGGUUUAAUUCGAAGAUACGCGCAGAACCUUACCAACACUUGACAUGUUCGUCGCGACUUUAAGAGAUUAAAGUUUUCGGUUCGGCCGGACGAAACACAGGUGCUGCAUGGCUGUCGUCAGCUCGUGUCGUGAGAUGUUGGGUUAAGUCCCGCAACGAGCGCAACCCUCACUUUUAGUUGCCAUCAUUUAGUUGGGCACUCUGAAAGAACUGCCAGUGAUAAGCUGGAGGAAGG
rnacentral:rRNA from 1 species